rnacentral:lncRNA from 1 species
UGCAGUUCUGCCCCUUGACUGACUACUGGCUCCUCUUGUCCUGACAACCUAUUGUCCUCCUUCCAGGCAUGACUGUAACAUUCCUUUCUCUGUCUGCCCGAGUGUCAGCCGCUCUCAUCUGGGAGUUUUUGGGCGCCCUACAUCUUCCUGCUGCCCACCUUUGCCCCCCUCUUCUUCCCAGGCGGUGGCUGCUGGGCACGAGUCUGGACCCCUGAGCGUCGCCAAGUCCCAGGAAGUGUGCAGCCUGCUCUCUCCUCACAGAAGCCUGCCAGCCACGAGUUGAGGGGCAGAGGCUGCCUCCUGGAUUUGAGGCCUCAGCACUGCAGGUACCUGAGUGAUCACCACAUCCACCUCCCUCAUGCUGGUGCCCUGCUCCUCGCCCUGAAAGUGGUUACCAGCUGCCUCCAGAAACCCCAGAACCUCCUGGUAGUGGUUUCAGAUUGUUAGGGAGGGUCCUGUGAAUGGUGGGUGGGAUCCUGCUGAUCCUCCCGAAUCCUGGUUUUGAACUAGACCUUGCCCAGUGAACUGGACACCUAUGAAGUGUGGCUGCUGAUGGGGGCAGCUGUGAGGCCUUGCUCCGUGGCGUUUCUCCACACCUGUCCCUUCCCUGCUGCUGGCCCCAGCUCUCCUCACAUGCCCACAUGUGAGGACUGAGCCACGGGGAGUGCUGCCUCCCAC